GAUCAUGUACAAUACAUGAUCAGUGACAGAGGCACCAUCCCGCAUUUUGGCAUUGAAGAUGGCACAACUAGUCUUGUGCCUCUCCACAUCAUCGGGUGUGCCAAAGACAUCCUCUAACACUUGAAGCAUGUCCUUUGGCUGAGCCAUCUCAAAUCUAUGACUGAACUCAUUGCUCAUGGCAGCCAGCAUGAUGUAGUGCAUCGUGGUCCGAUCACUGAGCCACUUCUGGUAAGUAUCUCUGACUAUUCCACAUGUAUUGGCAGCUGGCUCCUCAGGUGCAGGAUCCAUUAUCACAUAUAAGAUCCGUUCAUGCUCCAGGACUAUCUUCAACUUUCGGUACCAGCUAUCGAAGUUGGGUCCCACCAAUUUUUCAUUAUCCAACAAUGCUCGGAG
rnacentral:lncRNA from 1 species